rnacentral:rRNA from 1 species
GACGAACGCUGGCGGCGUGCUUAACACAUGCAAGUCGAACGGAGAUUCAGCAAUGGAUCUUAGUGGCGAACGGGUGAGUAACGCGUAGGCAAUCUGCCUUCUAGAUGGGGACAACAUCCCGAAAGGGGUGCUAAUACCGAAUGUUGUACCGUUUCCGCAUGGAGAUGAUACUAAAGGUGGCCUCUGAAUAUGCUACCGCUAGAAGAUGAGCCUGCGUCUGAUUAGCUAGUUGGAGGGGUAACGGCCCACCAAGGCAACGAUCAGUAGCCGGUCUGAGAGGAUGAACGGCUACACUGGGACUGAGACACGGCCCAGACUCCUACGGGAGGCAGCAGUGGGGAAUCUUCCGCAAUGGACGAAAGUCUGACGGAGCAACGCCGCGUGAGUGAAGAAGGUUUUCGGAUCGUAAAGCUCUUUCGUUAGGGACGAACGUGCUCUUUGUGAAUAAUGAGGAGUAAUGACGGUACCUAAAUAAGAAGCCACGGCUAACUACGUGCCAGCCGCCGCCGUAA